rnacentral:lncRNA from 1 species
GUUUGUGCUGGCGGACACAGUGGCGAACAGACGGACGCUCAUGAUAGCAAAUGGAUCUGAAAAUUCAAGAAAAAAAAUAUAAUACUUGGAAAUACUUCAAGAGGAAGAAUUUGUAUUUUCUUUAUCUGCUUGUGAUCUUUCCAUUUCAUCUAUCCAUCUUUUAGUCCUUAGUAUUUUCUUUAGUCCCACAUCUGAAAAUCAUGUAAAAUUCCUCCCUCCUAACACCUAUAAAAAGGCUCUUGUACUCCCAUUUGAGGGGGAGCCCAGAAAUUCUUCUAAAGCCUUGC